rnacentral:rRNA from 1 species
GAUGAACGCUAGCGGCAGGCUUAACACAUGCAAGUCGAGGGGCAGCGCGGUGUAGCAAUACAUUGGCGGCGACCGGCGCACGGGUGCGUAACACGUAUGGAAUCUGCCCUUUUCUGGGAAAUAACCCGAAGAAAUUCGGACUAAUGUCCCAUAACAGGCGAGGUGGCAUCACCUUGCUUUGAAAGCUCCGGCGGAAAAGGAUGACCAUGCGCCCGAUUAGCUAGUUGGUGAGGUAACGGCUCACCAAGGCUACGAUCGGUAGGGGGCCUGAGAGGGUUAUCCCCCACACUGGUACUGAGACACGGACCAGACUCCUACGGGAGGCAGCAGUGAGGAAUAUUGCGCAAUGGAGGCAACUCUGACGCAGCCAUGCCGCGUGCAGGAUGAAGGCGCUACGCGUUGUAAACUGCUUUUAUCCGGGAAGAAACCCCUCACGUGUGGAGGGUUGACGGUACCGGAGGAAUAAGCACCGGCUAACUUCGUGCCAGCAGCCGAC